UACGAAGGGUGCAAGCGUUACUCGGAAUUACUGGGCGUAAAGCGUGCGUAGGUGGUUUGUUAAGUCUGAUGUGAAAGCCCUGGGCUCAACCUGGGAGUGGCAUUGGAUACUGGCAGUCUAGAGUGCGGUAGAGGGUAGCGGAAUUCCCGGUGUAGCAGUGAAAUGCGUAGAUAUCGGGAGGAACAUCCGUGGCGAAGGCGGCUACCUGGACCAGCACUGACACUGAGGCACGAAAGCGUGGGGAGCAAACAGG
rnacentral:rRNA from 1 species